AUUGAACGCUGGCGGCAGGCCUAACACAUGCAAGUCGAACGGCAGCACAGAAGAGCUUGCUCUUUGGGUGGCGAGUGGCGGACGGGUGAGUAAUGUCUGGGAAACUGCCCGAUGGAGGGGGAUAACUACUGGAAACGGUAGCUAAUACCGCAUAACGUCGCGAGACCAAAGUGGGGGACCUUCGGGCCUCACACCAUCGGAUGUGCCCAGAUGGGAUUAGCUAGUAGGUGGGGUAAUGGCUCACCUAGGCGACGAUCCCUAGCUGGUCUGAGAGGAUGACCAGCCACACUGGAACUGAGACACGGUCCAGACUCCUACGGGAGGCAGCAGUGGGGAAUAUUGCACAAUGGGCGCAAGCCUGAUGCAGCCAUGCCGCGCGUAUGCAGAAGGCCUUCGGGUUGUAAAGUACUUUCAGCGGGGAGGAAGGCGGUGAGGUUAAUAACCUUGCCGAUUGACGUUACCCGCAGAAGAAGCACCGGCUAACUCCGUGCCAGCCGCCGCAGUAA
rnacentral:rRNA from 1 species